rnacentral:rRNA from 1 species
UACGGGGGGAGCAAGCGUUGUUCGGAUUUACUGGGCGUAAAGGGCGCGUAGGCGGCGUAACAAGUCACUUGUGAAAUCUCCGGGCUUAACUCGGAGCGGUCAAGUGAUACUGUUGUGCUAGAGUGCGGAAGGGGCUACUGGAAUUCUCGGUGUAGCGGUGAAAUGCGUAGAUAUCGGGAGGAACACCAGUGGCGAAGGCGGUUGCCUGGAGCUUUGCUGACGCUGAUGCGCGAAAGCGUGGGGAGCGAUCCGG